rnacentral:rRNA from 1 species
GUGCCAGCAGCCGCGGUAAUACGUAGGUGGCAAGCGUGGUCCGGAUUUAUUGGGCGUAAAGGGAGCGCAGGCGGUGACUUAAGUCUGAUGUGAAAGCCCACGGCUCAACCGUGGAAGGUCAUUGGAAACUGGGUCACUUGAGUGCAGAAGAGGAAAGUGGAAUUCCAUGUGUAGCGGUGAAAUGCGUAGAUAUAUGGAGGAACACCAGUGGCGAAGGCGACUUUCUGGUCUGUAACUGACGCUGAGGCUCGAAAGCGUGGGGAGCAAACAGGAU